CCCGGUAAUACGGAGGGUGCAAGCGUUAAUYGGAAUUACUGGGCGUAAAGCGCACGCAGGCGGUUUGUUAAGUCAGAUGUGAAAUCCCCGGGCUCAACCUGGGAACUGCAUCUGAUACUGGCAAGCUUGAGUCUCGUAGAGGGGGGUAGAAUUCCAGGUGUAGCGGUGAAAUGCGUAGAGAUCUGGAGGAAUACCGGUGGCGAAGGCGGCCCCCUGGACGAAGACUGACGCUCAGGUGCGAAAGCGUGGGGAGCAAACAGGAUUAGAUACCCUGGUAGUCCACGCCGUAAACGAUGUCGACUUGGAGGUUGUGCCCUUGAGGCGUGGCUUCCGGAGCUAACGCGUUAAGUCGACCGCCUGGGGAGUACGGCCGCAAGGUUAAAACUCAAAGG
rnacentral:rRNA from 1 species